UACGAAGGGGACUAGCGUUGCUCGGAAUCACUGGGCGUAAAGCGCACGUAGGCGGAUAUGUCAGUCAGGGGUGAAAUCCCGGGGCUCAACCUCGGAACUGCCCUCGAUACUGGAAGACUCGAGUCCGGGAGAGGUGAGUGGAACUGCGAGUGUAGAGGUGAAAUUCGUAGAUAUUCGCAAGAACACCAGUGGCGAAGGCGGCUCACUGGCCCGGUACUGACGCUGAGGUGCGAAAGCGUGGGGAGCAAACAGG
rnacentral:rRNA from 1 species